rnacentral:rRNA from 1 species
GAUCCUGGCUCAGGAUGAACGCUGACAGAAUGCUUAACACAUGCAAGUCAACUUGAACUUUGGUUUGGGUGGCGGACGGGUGAGUAACGCGUAAAGAACUUGCCUCACAGUUAGGGACAACAUUUGGAAACGAAUGCUAAUACCUGAUAUUAUGAUUUUAGGGCAUCCUAGAAUUAUGAAAGCUAUAUGCGCUGUGAGAGAGCUUUGCGUCCCAUUAGCUAGUUGGAGAGGUAACGG